rnacentral:rRNA from 1 species
UACGUAGGGUGCGAGCGUUACUCGGAAUUACUGGGCGUAAAGCGUGCGCAGGCGGCUUUGCAAGACAGAUGUGAAAUCCCCGGGCUCAACCUGGGAACUGCAUUUGUGACUGCAAGGCUAGAGUACGGUAGAGGGGGAUGGAAUUCCGCGUGUAGCAGUGAAAUGCGUAGAUAUGCGGAGGAACACCGAUGGCGAAGGCAAUCCCCUGGACCUGUACUGACGCUCAUGCACGAAAGCGUGGGGAGCAAACAGG